rnacentral:rRNA from 1 species
UAACGCGAAGAACCUUACCAAGGCUUGACAUAUACGAGAACGGGCCAGAAAUGGUCAACUCUUUGGACACUCGUAAACAGGUGGUGCAUGGUUGUCGUCAGCUCGUGUCGUGAGAUGUUGGGUUAAGUCCCGCAACGAGCGCAACCCUCGUUCUAUGUUGCCAGCACGUAAUGGUGGGAACUCAUGGGAUACUGCCGGGGUCAACUCGGAGGAAGGUGGGGAUGACGUCAAAUCAUCAUGCCCCUUAUGUCUUGGGCUUCACGCAUGCUACAAUGGCCGGUACAAAGGGCUGCAAUACCGCGAGGUGGAGCGAAUCCCAAAAAGCCGGUCCCAGUUCGGAUUGAGGUCUGCAACUCGACCUCAUGAAGUCGGAGUCGCUAGUAAUCGCAGAUCAGCA